GACGAACGCUGGCGGCGUGCCUAAUACAUGCAAGUCGAACGACUGGCGGACGGGUGAGUAACACGUGGGAACCUACCCAUCAGAGGGGGAUAACACUUGGAUACAGGUGCUAAUACCCCACACUGAUUGAUGGACCCGCGGGGCAUUAGCUAGUUGGUGGGGUAAAGGCCUACCAAGGCGACGAUCCGUAACUGGGCUGAGAGGAUGAUCAGUCACACGGGAACUGAGACACGGUCCAGACUCCUACGGGAGGCAGCAGUGGGGAAUAUUGGACAAUGGGCGAAAGCCUGAUGCAGCCAUGCCGCGUGUGUGAAGAAGGUCUUCGGAUUGUAAAGUACUUUAAGUGGGGAGGCGUUACCAGCAGAAGAAGCACCGGCUAACUUCGUGCCAGCAGCCGCGGUAAUUC
rnacentral:rRNA from 1 species